rnacentral:tRNA from 1 species
GAUAUAGUGUCUGAUUAAAGGACCUCUUUGAUAUGGAGGAGCAAGCACUCUGUGCCUAUGUUA